GCAGUGGGAAAGAUGAGCAGUGGUGUAGCUAUAUGGAAACUCACCCAAUCCCCAAUAGCAAACACAGCAUCCUUAGCAAUGCCAUGGCUUUGGACUUCCAGGGACACUUGGUGUUGGAGUCAUCUGGCCACAGCUGCCAGUCGUGCAAAUGACUUCUGCAGGAAAUUGCUCUUUCAGAGUGUCCAUUUACAGAGGCAGGAAUGCAGACUGAAAAAUUCUUAAGAAUGGAAGCUCCUUGCUGGUGACAAGAAGGAGUCUACAGAACCAUGGCUGAUUUUGUGCACCUUGUCUGCGUGAAGAAUAAUCCUAGUGUAAUACCUGCAUUUCGGAUACUACUUUACCCAGUUGAGCCAGGGCAGUUGAUGGCUCCAUUUGUCAGAUAAUUGCCUACUGAGGAGUUUUCAAGAAUAUGCAAACAGAAGAUGACUUUUUCUCUUGUCUCCACCUGAUUGUUUCCUUGCCUGCAAGCUGAAUCUCUGCCGUCCUCUUCUUUAUUUUGCUUUGCACAAACAUUCUCACAGGAUGUGUUGGUAACCAGUGGGUGACUGGCUGUGGUCUUAGGACAGGGUAGAUAAGAAGAGAACAUUUCAACACUGGGUUGCAGCAAGACAUCUUAUAGUCAUAACACAGUUGGUCUCCCUUGUUGCUGUGCCAGGGACAGUGCAAACCACUGAUUCAAAUUCUCCCCAGAUAUAAUAGGUAUUUACAGUUACCAUACAAUUCACAAUGCUCAGGUAGGCAGAUACAAAAAAAA
rnacentral:lncRNA from 1 species